GCCGCACACCUCGAACCCAUGCACCCAAUCCACUGCAAAUGCCCGUCGCUGCCGCCCGCGCAAUCCGCCACCCGAACCUCUCCAUCAUCGCCGACCGCUGCGCCACGCUCGCCGGCCGACCGCGCCUCCACCAAAUCCGAGCUCCUAGUGCCGUCCUCACGCCCGCCGACCGCGCCGCGCCUCCUGACUCUUCGCCUGCCUGGCCGAUCGAGGCCUAGCCCUAGGCAUGCCGCUCGCGGCCGCACUAGAGGGGGUGGAGGCGUCAGGAUCCAGGAGGACUAGGUCGAGCGCGGGGCGGCGGCAGCGGCGGUCGGAGUCGCUGGAACCCGAACCAACUCCUAUGCGCCGCCGCGGCAGCAAGCGGGGCAAGAGGGUGAGCUCUACCACUGCCGCAGCCGUGCCCGUGAUCAAAACCCAUUCAACGGCGGCCAGUUCGUGGCUGCGUUCCAAGGGGAUGAGGAUGAGGAGUGCGGAUGCGGCCGUAAAGGAGCGGAGAAGAAAAAGGAAUAGGGCUGACGAUAAUUGUGAUGAUGAGGAGGGGAGGGAGGAGAAGAAGAGAAAUUUUGGCGAGGAGGCGGUGCCACCUUCAGAUGCAUCAAGGGAGGAAGAAGAAGAGGAAGCAAAGGAGGAGGAGGAAGUCUCCUCUGCACCCAGCUCUCCCCUCUGCGAGCCUGAUAUCCCCGAAGAAGUUAUUGGGCAUGAUUCCAACGGCGUGGAGAUCUACAAGCCUAUCGACUCAGAGACAUCCAGGGCAUAUGAGCAGAGCAUUGCGAAAUUCAGUGAGAAAUUAGCUCGCCAAACGAAACUGCCCACGCUUGAUCAGAGCAGACCUAGCACUUGCCUUGUCGAGCCGAAAUUGCUUCACGUUUGCCAAUCUGCUACAAGGACCGUCGUUCGUGCCGGAAAAUUUGUUUUUGCCCUUUCAUCCUCAGUUGGUGGUAAGCCGUUAACUCAGUGUACAGGCUUCUUGAUUGAUUGGGAUCAGAAGGGUGAGACUGGCAUUAUACUGACAUCCGCCCAUCUAAUUCGCUCAAAAGACCCAUCCUUGGACAGCUGGUUGUGCAAAGAUGAGUAUACACCUGAUGCUCAGGUUACUAUUCACUUUCUAGAUAAGACUACUGAAGAGUGCCACCUGCUCUACUACCAAAAACAUUACAAUAUUGCACUAUUCAGGACGAAAGUGAAGUUGUCUGUUGAGUUACCUUCUUUUAAUGACAAUGUAAACUGUGGUCAAGAGGUUUUCAUGAUUGGAAGGGAUGAAAAUUCGAAUCUAAGGAUUAGCUAUGGUCGGGUGCAAUAUUUGAAUCCAAACUUGUAUGAGCGAUACCACUUCAUGUAUGCUUAUGGUGCAGGUGAUGCCCCGAAGUGUGGCAGCGGAGGGCCAGUUAUUGAUUUUGAUGGAAAGGUUGUGGGGAUGUCCAAGGCUAAUAAAAAUGGUUCUUUUGUACCUACUCUCAUUAUACUCAAGUGGUUGCAUUUGUGGAGAAAUUAUGGGUGCAUUCCUCGACCCCACCUUCGAUUGAAGCUUUGGGCCAUCAAAUUUCUUGACCCUACUCAAAUCGAGAUGAUACUGUUCAAGUGUGGCACUGAUGACGGUCUUAUUGUUAAAGAGGUAUCUAAUGGAUCUUUUGCUGAGAAACUUGGAAUCAGAGUUGGAGAUAUUAUUGAAUGUUUGAAUGGAUUAUAUGUUUCUUCAACGGUUGAGUUGGAAAAUAUGUUAUUGCGCUUGUCUGAGGAGCAUCUUGCUAGAAGAAAUGGCCAUGAUUCCAAAAUGGAUGUCGAGAUUGGCAUAUUUUGCACACGGAAAGAAAAGCGAAGAACCAUAAAGAUGGCACUGAAUGUAACUGAUGAGGGAGAAGAAGUUGUUAGAGGUUCUUAUCUUGUUACUACUGGAAAGGGGGUUUCCGCCUCAGUGUUGCUUGAACAAGUGGAUUCAGGUUCUUUUGGUCCCUGUUUCUAGCGGAGAAAGGAAACCUGCUUAGGUCAAAAAAGUUUGCACGUCAGUUGUUGAGUAGGGGUCGAGGAAGGGAUGUAAGUUCUUCAUUCUACUUUGUAAAUAGAUAGUCUCACCAUACACUAGUGGCUGCCUCUGAUCAUUUUAUGAGGUGUUUACUUCUCCAGAGCCCUUUUUGGUGGAUAUUAGUAUCUUCUCCUAUCGUUCUUGGAUUCCCCAGCCAUGGAGAUAUAGAAACAUAUGUAAUAUGCUAUUUGCGAAUCAUGUUGGUGGACAUCAUGCUGCUAUUUGUUAGCUAAGAAUACCUGCUAUGCCAAGCAGCUGCAUCUGUACUUAGGUAUAGUUUAGUUGUUUAUGGCUUUGAUGACGUGGUGCAUGCGUUCCUACGACAGGUGGUCCUUCUUCUAUUUGAUACGGGCUAGUUUACCGACUGCUUUCUGAACACUCCUAUUUAAUUCUCUAUGUUAAAUAAGUAUUCAAAGUGUCAUCCACUACUGUAACUGAAAAAACAGUAAAUUUAUUCUAGUACUGGAAAAAGUUAUCAUGUAAUAGGAAAA